UGGAUUGUUUUCUUGCUGGCAGCUUCUGGUAAAUGUGGAAAACAAAAUCAGUGGUUAUGUAAUGCCUGGAGAGGAAAGAGAGCCUGCUUUGAACUGACAACAGCCUUGUCAGCUUGAAUGCUGAAGCUAGAAAUAUCCUGUCAGAAAUAUCAUCUUUAACAUUGGAGCCCUUCGCUCUGGGAAGGGGAGGAACCAGACACUUUGGCAUACAACCGCCGUGCAAUGGUGCAGGACCACUGGCAACAGAAGAGGGCGUUUCACCUGGCUGGUAAGAAAGCUCCGUGACCCCACUUGAUCAUGUUUGCUCAAAAAGGUUCCUCCUGCAAUCUUCUUGUCAUCACAUGCCUUACCCUUGGCUUGAGCCCUGAAAGAGGUAGCUAG
rnacentral:lncRNA from 1 species